CCCUUAGAGUUUGAUCCUGGCUCAGGAUGAACGCUAGCGGCAGGCUUAAUACAUGCAAGUCGAGGGGCAGCGGGGGUAGCAAUACCUGCCGGCGACCGGCAAACGGGUGCGGAACACGUACAGAACCUUCCUUUAAGCGGGGAAUAGCCCGGAGAAAUCCGGAUUAAUACCCCAUAGAAUUGUUUAGUGGCAUCAUUAGAUAAUUAAAGAUUUAUCACUUAAAGAUGGCUGUGCGGCUGAUUAGGUAGUUGGUUGAGGUAACGGCUCACCAAGCCUGCGAUCAGUAACUGGUGUGAGAGCACGACCAGUCACACGGGCACUGAGACACGGGCCCGACUCCUACGGGAGGCAGCAGUAAGGAAUAUUGGUCAAUGGACGCAAGUCUGAACCAGCCAUGCCGCGUGAAGGAUGAAGGUCCUCUGGAUUGUAAACUUCUUUUAUCUGGGACGAAACCCUCGCAUUCUUGUGAGAUUGACGGUACCAGAGGAAUAAGCACCGGCUAACUCCGUGCCAGCAGCCGCGGUAAUACGGAGGGUGCAAGCGUUAUCCGGAUUCACUGGGUUUAAAGGGUGCGUAGGUGGGAAUGUAAGUCAGUGGUGAAAUCUCCGUGCUUAACAUGGAAACUGCCAUUGAUACUAUGUUUCUUGAAUUUUCUGGAGGUCAGCGGAAUAUGUCAUGUAGCGGUGAAAUGCUUAGAUAUGACAUAGAACACCAAUUGCGAAGGCAGCUGGCUACAGGGAUAUUGACACUGAGGCACGAAAGCGUGGGGAUCAAACAGGAUUAGAUACCCUGGUAGUCCACGCCCUAAACGAUGGAUACUCGACAUUUGUGAUACACAUAAGUGUCUGAGCGAAGCAUAAGUAUCCCACCUGGGAGUACGACGCAGUGAACUC
rnacentral:rRNA from 1 species